AGUAGGUCUCUGAGGAUCAUCUGUCUGAGUUUGAACGAGUCACUUAAGAUCAUCUUUGGUAUGUCUAAAUGGGUCACACAAUAUCAUUGUCCGCGUACUUUUGCAAACUAGGUAAACUUUUAUUAAUACACUGUUUCUUAUUAAACUGGACUUAGGGGGCCCUCGGAUAGCUAGGGUGUGUCAGGCAACCCUAGGUAGAAACCAAGCAUAUCCAAUGUGUGGGCUCUACUACCUAAAAACUUCGUUAGAACAAUAAUUAUCUCACCAUCUAUAAAUGAAAAGGGAAUUUAGCAUAUACUAUAAUUGAUUUCGGUUGAUCAAGUACUAGACUAUGAACCAAAAGUCGGUAUUCAAGUGUUUAUUUACUGCCAAAUAUAUUUUCUAUUAUUUAAUCUUAUUAUCGGAGAUCCUAAAACCUAUAAAUGUACAUCAAUAUCAACGAAAACACUUAUUCAAUACUCAACUAUUUAUUAUUAUUAUUACUACUACUACUUUAGCCCUAUAGUGAUUGAGCAUCCGAUAGUCUUCUGCAAGAGUACUUUCUUCGUAACUAAUCAGAGCUUAUUUUCAAGGAGUCUACGAGUUUGGAAAGGAGACUUCAUUCUUUUCACACCUUGUUUAUAGUGACGCCUCCUUUCAAUAAGAACGCAAAUUAUGAAUGCUCUGGUUUGGAGUCUCCCAACAACUUUGAACUAGAAUAUUUUAGAGCUCACUACAAGAUAGGUAAAACUGUUUCUACUUCUGCAAAUUCAAACAAUUAGGAAUCAAAGAAGCACCACUCCAUUGGAGGAUGAUGGCGAGACUUCCACCUUGCAGCAAGUCACAGAGAAUAGGCAACCCGACAAGAAGAAGAAUUUCUCCUUAGGGAAGUAGAGGAAAAUCGCCUCCGUGUAAAAGAAUCUUUGAAGGCUCAUGAGCAACUGAUUACACCUGCGUAAGCUGUUCAAAAAGCCAAGGCAGUACCAUCAAUGUUUUGGCAAACAAAGAAAUCAAAUCUAGUCUUUACUCCCGUAAGAUAACCUCGCUUUAAUACUCUGGUCCAAACAUUUGAGGGAACAUUGGCUUGAAACUAUGGACAUUGGGUUGUCUAAUUCAAGUAUGACAAAAUCUUCAUUAAUUAUGGCAUCUACCAUUUUUAUGUUAGUUUUAGUUUAUAGUUUUCAAUGUCGCCCCUAAGUCUAUGUUGAGGGAGAAAUUAGUAAACUCAACUAAGCUUGCCUUUAUUGAUUUUCAUCUCAACAUAGAUUGAGUGACUACACUAAAAACUAAACAAAAUGAAAUAUAUUAUAAUUAAUGAAGAUUUUGGACGCCAAGCUUGACAACCUACUUGAAUUAGAUAAACCAAUGCCCAUGAUUUCAAGGCCUUAAAAAAUUUGAACAAAGAAAUCGCAUAUGGUGUUUACACCUUGGCUGACAACCCGCUUAGAUAGUUUGGUUUAAAUAUCAAAGCGGAUAUUGGCUUCAAAUUGUGGAUAUUGGGUCAUCUAAUUUGAGCAGGUUGUUGAGUUUGGUGUCCAAAAUCUUCAUUAGUUAUAGCAUAUCACAUUUUGUCAGUUUUUGUUUUUAGUUUAUAGUGCCGCCCCUAGGUCUAUGUUGAGUAGAAACAGGUUAACCAACCCCAUUGAUAGGAUCGUGGAAAUGUAUUCUUCAAAUAGAGAAGAACUUGAAGAAGCUUCAUCAAAGAAUACAAAAAUAUAAAAAUUACAUAAGUCUAGCGCAUUACAAAAAUAUCUUGAAAAGAGGCAUAGGUUAGAAUAACUUGUUUGAAUAUUAGAACAAGGCUAACUUAGGUUAAAAUAACUUACCCUAGGUGCCUAUGUGUAAAAUGGAAUCCUACAUCUCCAUUUAGCUUUGAUAGGAUGUGACUCCAGCUAUAAAAGGAGGUCACCACCCUAUUUACAAAUCACCCUAGAGAUAAAAAUCAAUUUUGAGCUUUGAAUAGCUCUUGUGUUUUUUUGAGAGUGUUGCUUGCUUGGUUGAGUUUUCUUAAGUGAAAUCUCUUUCUCUUGCCUUCUUGGACCUUUCAAGAAUAAUAUCAAGAGACCUCUAAGGGUCCUAGCCAACCUCCAUAGGUUGUGUAUAUUUAGUAAGGUAAUCAUCACCCUAUCCUAUCCUUAUUCCAUUUACUUUUGUCAUCUUUUCUAUCAUCCAUUGCCUUUGUUCAUUCCAUUUCUUGCAUAUUAUCUUGUAUCUUACUAAGCUUUCAUGUCUUAUCUCUCCACCACCUAAUGCUUAUCAAGGACAACCCAAACAACCAAAAGAAGCAACAAAGCCUCAACCCCACACCCCUAGUCAUGUACCUUGUCUAGCUAUAGGUCUUGGCCAAACCACCUUUCAUCAUCCAAAUCACCUCCAAAAUUCACCAAACCCAGUUCUAAAUCUCCCUUAGGUAAUCUGCAACAAACCCCUUUCACUAGUAUCCCAAAAAGACCAAGAAAGAUAAUCAAGAACUAACUUCUUCUUCAACCUAGGUUUCACAACCUUACCGUCUACUCCUUCCAAGAACCUAUCUUAAACUCAUCUUGAUUCAACCAAGAACCAUCCUAGGUCAGUUUAUAACCCUUGCCCCACUUGUCCUACCCCCCUAGUGCUAGCCGAACCAUAAACACCAUAGAAAGGAACCAACGACUAACCUUCUUGGAAGCUUAGUUUCUUAAGGCUUGUGUUGCACCUUUGAAGCUUGUACUGAACUUUCCUUGUCAUCUUUGUGAACCCAAGUGUGUUCCCAUCAUCUAUAGUGGGUGCCAAAAUGUUCUAUAAUCAAUGAACAUUUUGGAUAUUAAACUCAGAAACCUUCUCUAAUUAGUCAACCCAAUGUCUACCAUUUCAAGCCUAUAUUCCCAUAAAAUAUUCAAACCAAAGUAUCAGAGUGGGGCUCACCAGAUGCAAUUUCUUUGUUCACCAAAACACUCAUGUCAUAUCUAUGCUUUGUUCAUUCAACACCCAAUUUAAGCUAACGUCUGAUAUGACUUCAAGACAAUUAUCAAUUGAAACAUAGUCAUAUAGGCUUCUUGAUGAAGCAUACGUUUUAGUUUAUUCGUCACCAAAUUUAUACUUCUCGCACAAUGUAAUCAUUUUUGGUGUAUUAUCAUAACAUUAUUUAAGAAUUCGAGACACAACAACUUUGUGAAUUAUAUGUUUGAAUAAAUAGCUAUUAUGGAGGUACACUUUUAUUUUGACAAUAGUGUUGAAGUGGACAUUGCAUUUGAUUUAGCGCAAACUCAAUGUAUAUAAGGGAUGAUAGGUUCUCAAUUGAAGACUCAACAAAUUUGCUAUAAUGUUUAGUUUGAGCAACAUAGAACAUCCAUCCUGAAAACUUUCUUCGAGUACAUGAACAAUAUCUUGAUCUGGUCUAUAAUGAGCACUCUUGUUUUAAUGUAUGUGUGGUGAUUUGUCGAAAUUCAUCCUUGUUACAUGUUGUUAAGUUAACUUAUGAAAAUACUCGUCUUGUAGAAACACUUAAAACAAUGAUGUGUAGUGGGACUCCACAUUACAUUAGAUAUUUGUGUGAGAAUGAUUAACAUUAUUUGCUUGACAAGGCAUAUUCCCUAUUCUCAUAACUGUCACUCCUUAAGUCGAACACGAGCACAAUAACAAGCACCAAGAAACACAUAACACUCUACAACGCAAUGACAAGAAUUUCAACAACAUUGAAGGCAAACAAAUUGAAAGAAGGAUUGUGGGCGUACAUAUAAUGGAUUCUUGGAGACGAAAUAUGCAAAUACCUGGCAAAGUCAAAAACAGUAAAAGAAGGCAAAGGACAGUUGAUCCUCUUUAGAAGUGCCUUACAUCUUCCUUUUAGAAAGGUUUUGUCCUUAUAAUUGCGUUGUUUCAUGUGCCUUACAUCUCUUUAAGUGUGCUUGCCACAUGCGAAACCCUUUGAAGUGAACAAUGUGAUGUUUCCUUUUUUGUUCAUGACUCAUUAUGGAAAAGUUCUAGAACUAUUCUAUCAUUUCACUACCUUAGUCAAGUUCUGAUUAGGUGUGCCAGAGCCUAUCCAAUCUCAUUACUGCCUAGGCUCAAGACUGAGGAAAACCUAAAACAAAUUCUGACUACUUUAGUUGGAGCUUAUCUAGUCUAUUCCUCACUUUGGCUCGAGGCUGAGGCAUUGUGUAUGCUCAAACAAAUUGUGACUAUGUUAGUCGACUAUGAGUUAGUUUCCUAGGUUCAUCGGUAUGUGCUCGAACGUGUCAUUGAAUACCAUUAUACAUGCACCUUUACAAACUAAACAAGCUCCUGAUUAAUAAAACACGUUUCCUGUUAUACCAUAUCGCCUCGAUCUUAAGCCCCAAGGCUAGUGUCAAGCAACUAUCUUUGAAACCAAACAUAUUGAACUUGCAAAGUUCCAUUACCCAAAAAAUUGAUUAGAACAGUAACGAUACCCACAUCUAUAAAUAAAGCGGAAAUUAACAUAGUAACUCAACUCAUUCACAAUGUUAUGGUUUUGAAGUCCCCAAUGACUUUGAACUAUUAAACAUUUUGCGUGUACCAUGGGAUAGAUAAAACUGUUCCUGAUGUGAUCUCAAAUUGAGAAGAGCAAGAAGAACCUGAGUCACCAUAAGGAGGAGUCACUACAAGGGCCCAAGAGAAAAAAAAUCAAGGAACAAGACCUUAUAAAGAACUUUCAAGAGUGUGAAGGCAUAUAAGGAGAAUGUACAAGAAGCUUGAAGAAGACAUAAGGAAUAUAAAUAGUUUUUGUAAUCUCCUUGUGAAUAAAAAUAUAGAUAUAAUAGAAUCUUUCUUUAGAAUAUAAAUAAAAGACAAGUAGUUUGGCUACAAGGAUAGUAUAAAAAAACAAGGGCCUUGGUUGGCAACUUAGAGAAACCAAGCAAGGCCUAACUCUUCAACUUCUUGUAAGGGCCUUGUUUGGGAGGCUUAACACACAAACCAAACAUUCCCUUGUUUCUUCAUAUAUGUGAGUUUUGCCUAUAUAAGCAUGAUGGCUCUCAUGCAUAACACAACAUGAGAAGAUUAAUGAAAUAGCAAGAGCUUUCUCCAGUCUUGAGUUCAAGAGGUAAGUCCUCAACCUGAGAAUAUUUUCUUGAGUUUUCCAAAUUCAAGUGGUGAUUGUCAUUUGCACUUAUCACUUUUAGAGUGGCUUGUUCUUCAUUCCUUUCUCCUUCGUGUUUGCUUGUUCUUUUUCUCUUUUUGUUCCAAAGAAUCAAACCUUCAUACUUAUAUAACCAGCUGGUUAAAUUCUUUUCAGUGGCAAGAAUAUAGGAUCUUGUCUGUGUUUAGUUUUCAAUUCCAAUUUCUAUAUUGGAUUGCCAAGAAUAUUGCUCAUUGUUUCCUCAUGGAAUUGAUUUGUUCUUGAGUUCCUAGACUCAAAGUACAUCGUCGAGACCCAUACAAGAUCAUCCAAGGUGAUUUAAGAUAUUUCAACCGAUUAAAUCACGUGUUCUUGGUUGCCAUGGAUUAAUUCUUCAAGGAGGUUCCAUUUCAAUCGCUUAGUUUUGUUAUAUUUCAUGUUUCUAAUACUUUUAUCGAUUGGUUUGGUUUUGUUGAGUUCUUGUAUAAUCAUUGAUUCUUAGUCAUCUUUUAUUGAUCCUACUUGUCUUGUUCAUACUCUGAACCUUCCUACUUAUACAAAUUCAAACAACGAGGAAUCAAAGAAAUUUCACUUGGUUUUACUGAUCUCUCCCUCAACAUAGAUUGAGCAACGACAUUGUAAAUAGGAAUUAAAACUAUCAAAAUGAUAGGUCUUGUCUUGUAAUUAAGAAAGAUUUUGGACACCAAACCUAACAAGACGCUCAAAUUAGAUGGUCCAAUGUCCACAGUUUCAAACCAAUAUUCCCUUAAAUUUUUAUAUCAGAGUAUCAAAGCAGGGCUAUCAUCCAAAGUGUAAGGACCAAAUGCGAUUUCUUAGUUUGCCAAAACACUUGUGCCUUUGUGUUGGAUUUCUGAGAUCUGCUAUGAUUUUACGACAAUUAUCAAAUGGAACUCAAACCUAUAGGAAAUUUGAUCAAGUAGAUGAUGUAACUAUUUUAAUUCAGUUGUUGAUCCUACUUGUCUUGUUCAUACUCUGAACCUUCCUACUUAUACAAAUUCAAACAACGAGGAAUCAAAGAAAUUUCACUUGGUUUUACUGAUCUCUCCCUCAACAUAGAUUGAGCAACGACAUUGUAAAUAGGAAUUAAAACUAUCAAAAUGAUAGGUCUUGUCUUGUAAUUAAGAAAGAUUUUGGACACCAAACCUAACAAGACGCUCAAAUUAGAUGGUCCAAUGUCCACAGUUUCAAACCAAUAUUCCCUUAAAUUUUUAUAUCAGAGUAUCAAAGCAGGGCUAUCAUCCAAAGUGUAAGGACCAAAUGCGAUUUCUUAGUUUGCCAAAACACUUGUGCCUUUGUGUUGGAUUUCUGAGAUCUGCUAUGAUUUUACGACAAUUAUCAAAUGGAACUCAAACCUAUAGGAAAUUUGAUCAAGUAGAUGAUGUAACUAUUUUAAUUCAGUUGUUGUUGAAUUUAUAUUUCUCACGCGUCUUAUUGUUCUUGGUGUCUUAUCCUGGCAUUAUUUAGGAAUUUGACAAAGGAUCACUAUACAAAUUAUAUGUCCAACAAAAUAGCAACUAUGAAGGCAUUCUUUCAUUUUGACACUAAUUUCAAAGUGGACAUUCCAUAAAUAAAGUUCAAUCAAUACAAUGGAUGUUAGGUUUUCAACGAACACUUAGUAAGACAACUAUAAUGUUCAUUUUGAGCAAAAGACAACAUCCUGAUAUGAAAACCUUGAGUGAGUACAGUAGGAUUUUGAUGUGGUCUAAGAUGAACGCUCCUGUUGUCAUUUCAUAUGCAACGUGAUGAUUCUUCCAAAGUCACCCUUGGUACGUGUUAUCGAGUUAGCUUCUAGUGGAACUCCACAAUACUUUAUACAUUUGUGUGAGAAACACUCGUACAAUGCAACAACAACAACAAGGUCAAACAAAUUGAAAGGAUUUGGGUGUACCUAGGAUUUACUUUUAGAGACAAAAUAUGGAAAUGUUUUGCGAAGUAAAAAACGAUAAGAGAAACAAGUAGCAACCCUUUUGUAGAAGUGAAGUAUUCUCUUUUUUUGCAAAGUUUGGGCCUCAUUGUGUUGUUUCUUGUGCCUUAACCUCAAAGAAUUACAAAAUAUUUGCAAAUCAAAGUUUGUCAUAUGUACAAACACUAUGUGAAACCCUAUUUUAAGUGAACAAUGUGACAUUUCCUUCCCCAUCACGCCCCAACUAAUGACCUUGUAUCCUGUCAUAAUGAAUGCUCUAGAGGUAUUCUCCCUCCAUUUUGCUCACUAAGACAAAUUCCAACUAGGUUAGUUGGAGCUUAUCUAGUUAAUUCGUCACCUUUGCUCGAGAGUGAGGGGUUAUGUAUCUUUAGGAUAACUCUUAGACAAAUUCCAACUAGGUAGUCAAAGCCCUUCUAUCUUUGUCGCCUAGGUUCAAGAUUGAGGGUUUGUAAACCAGACAAAUUGUGGCUAGGUUAGUCGACACUCGAUGAUUAUGAGUCAGUCUUUGUGCCGAACGAGUACCAUCGUACGUGUUCACAAACUAAACAAACUCUGAUAAAUUGGAAUUGUUUUCUAUUAAAUCGAAUCACCUAGAUUUUGGACCCCUUGUAGUUAGGGUGUGGGGCAACUAUCUUGGAAACCAAAGACAUUGAACAUGCAAAUUCCCCUGCCUAAAAAAUUGCUUAGGUACCAUCAUCUACAAAUAAAGGGAAAAUUGAUAUAAUAACUCAUUGUGAAUGAUCUAGUUUGAAGUUGUACUACUGGUAGGUAUUUGGUCUUCACGAGGGAUAAUCACAUAGAAUUCAAGGAUUCCGAUAAUAUCUCUCACCAUCAAGCAAAUGUUUAUUUACUAUUAAAUGCUAGUUACGGAGUGAAUAUGGACUAUUAAUGGGGAUCUUAUUCAUGUUAUCAUUUUAAGAAUAGACAAGAAAAUCAAUAUAAUAAGACAUAAUAAUUGAAUUAAAGAAAUAAGAGGGGAAUUAGAGUGACAAAUUUCUUAUUAUUGUGACUUAAUUACACGCACAAGAGAAGAAAACUUCGCUAUAAAUAGGAGAUUCCAGACCAAAGAAGUUCAAGACGAUAAGUUAAAGGAUCUCCUAAGUUCAUUUCUAGAUCAAAAGUUAUAUAGCAAAUUUGAUCUAGAACACAUUCAGUUUUUCAAAACGUUGGGCAUGGGUGAGGAAGAGAAAAUAGACCUCUUGACUAGUUGGAUUGGAUUGUCAUUCUAUUAGUACUGUGCCCUCUGAAAGUGAAAACAGGGUAUCCCGUGUAAACCCUCAAACGAUAUUCUCCAGAUACUGUUUUUGGCCGUAUCUGAAGGCGACUACCAACUUGAUUAGUAGUUAAUAGAAUAAUGCAGUGGUUGCAACCUCAAGGAUUUUUUUUCCUCUUUCUAAUACAAUGACGUCAUUCUCAGCAGCCAUGUGUCAAUUCUUUUUUAUUAUUUACGAAGAUAUUAAAAAUCAGUAAAUCAACGAAGUGUGCGAGAAUUUCCUCCGAAGUGAUGCAAGUCUUUAUCUUAUUGCCACCUGCGCAACUGACAUGCGAAUAAUUGGGUCUGAAAAAUGAAUUCCCACGAAUAUUACCAAGUGUGCAAGGCAUCUCUUUUAAGGAGUUGACCCGGGAAUCCAAAGGAUUACUCAACUUAUGAUGUCUAUUAACCUUGUUUGUGAAGCAUAAUUUGUGGUUCACUUCUAUUUUGAUGAGCAUCUUAUUAAACUUUCUUUCUGUUGAUUAAAUAUAAUAUUGGAAAUGCACAAAAAAUAAUUUCUCUGUUGAUUAUUUAUUGUAUUUAUUUCUUUAGCACUUUUUUUUUCUGUUGCCUAAGUUUUUUAUUUUCGGAUUAAAUUGAAUCUUGUAUACUUGGGAUUGGGAAAUUCAGCCACUGGAACUGGUAAAGAUACAUCAGUCACGUUAUCUUUUCUGCAGCAAAUGAUUAUAUUUGGUCAUCUCAUCCCUUUAUAACAGGAGACAAUCGUAUCCAUGGCAUACAUGUCCGAGUCAUCUACUACCAUGGCACGCAGCAUAUUAAGCAAAUAGUCUACUGAAUUACUGAUAUUCACCACUAAUAUCCUUUGUUGUAUUGGCAUAAGUGUUUUUAGAGUUUGAACUGGAAUAAAUGGCGACUUUUUUGGCUUUCAGGCAAAGGCUGGAUAGCAGAUACAACUUGUAGAUACAUUAUGAAGACCUCGUGGAUAUGAUUAUUUCCCAUAAAGCUGCUGAAAUAAAGUACCGGAUAACUUGGGGACAAUGCCAAGCGGUAUGUGAAUGCUAGCUAGACUAUUUUCAGACCAUUUCAGACUAUGUAGAGCAUGGCCAAAGCUCGGGUACUGGAUUAUAACAAAUUAGGUACCUAUAUGCCAUUGCUAUCUUUUGAAGAACCAUAUCAUGCAUCAACAUGACUAAGUAACCAAUCCAAUUACAAUUUUCUCCGUUAUUCCUGGACAGGAUUUGAAAUUAGCAACUGGAUGUUGUUUAUAUGCAAGUGAUCGGUGUGGAAUUUUUCUAUUCAAUAGAUGAUUUUUAUAGUUCUUAAGUGUUAAACCGUUUACAAAUGACUGCACUUCAUUGUGUUUAGGUGCCAAACCGUUUCAGUAUGUUACAUUAUGUGUUCAUGCUUUUCUCCUGCCAAACUUGAACUAUAGCAUUUUGUUCUCUCUCUAUAUGCGUGUGUAUAUAUAUACCUAUCCAAAUCAAUGUGUCAAGCUGCAAUUUGCAGAUCCCAAUAGCUAGAUUGAGAUGAAUUUAUAGUUAUGUUGCAUUUAAAUGAAAUGGAAACAGUAUGAAUCUAUAUGAAGA
rnacentral:lncRNA from 1 species